rnacentral:rRNA from 1 species
CCUACGGGUGGCAGCAGUAGGGAAUCUUCCACAAUGGGCGCAAGCCUGAUGGAGCAACGCCGCGUGGGUGAAGAAGGUCUUCGGAUCGUAAAACCCUGUUGUUAGAGAAGAAAGUGAGUGAGAGUAACUGUUUACGUUUCGACGGUAUCUAACCAGAAAGCCACGGCUAACUACGUGCCAGCAGCCGCGGUAAUACGUAGGUGGCAAGCGUUAUCCGGAAUUAUUGGGCGUAAAGGGCACGCAGGCGGUCUUUUAAGUCUGAUGUGAAAGCCAUCGGCUUAACCGGAGUAGGGCAUUGGAAACUGGGAGACUUGAGUGCAGGAGAGGAGGGUGGAACUCCAUGUGUAGCGGUAAAAUGCGUAGAUAUAUGGAUGAACACCAGUGGCGAAGGCGGCUGUCUGGUCUGUAGCUGACGCUGAGGUUCGAAAGCGUGGGGAGCAAACAGGAUUAGAUACCCUUGUAGUC